rnacentral:rRNA from 1 species
AUUGAACGCUGGCGGCAGGCUUAACACAUGCAAGUCGAGCGGAGAUGAGGUGCUUGCGCCUUAUCUUAGCGGCGGACGGGUGAGUAAUGCUUAGGAAUCUGCCUAUUAGUGGGGGACAACAUUCCGAAAGGAAUGCUAAUACCGCAUACGUCCUACGGGAGAAAGCAGGGGAUCUUCGGACCUUGCGCUAAUAGAUGAGCCUAAGUCGGAUUAGCUAGUUGGGGGGGUAAAGGCCUACCAAGGCGACGAUCUGUAGCGGGUCUGAGAGGAUGAUCCGCCACACUGGGACUGAGACACGGCCCAGACUCCUACGGGAGGCAGCAGUGGGGAAUAUUGGACAAUGGGGGAAACCCUGAUCCAGCCAUGCCGCGUGUGUGAAGAAGGCCUUAUGGUUGUAAAGCACUUUAAGCGAGGAGGAGGCUACUGAGACUAAUACUCUUGGAUAGUGGACGUUACUCGCAGAAUAAGCACCGGCUAACUCUGUGCCAGCCGCCGCCGUAAUAC